GCUCGAAUCAUUGAAGUUCUCCUUGUAUUUUCAGGUAGUUGUAUCACUAUCAAUCCGAAGUGCUUUCUUAUUUUUGCCACUACCUACACUGGCCCAGAUCAUGCAAGAUUAAUAACAAUAUUGAAGACAUUAACUUGGGGUGAUUUUUGUCACUGACCUGUGGCUGUCAUUUUCUCCCUAAACUUACCAUUUCUCAUCUUAUACAACUGAAUAUUCUUCUCUAUGUACUCGGCAAACUGGACAGUAUCGCCAGACUCUCCUGUGACCAACAUCACCAGUUGGUCACUUAAUUUGAACAUUUUGUCGUAAUC
rnacentral:lncRNA from 1 species